rnacentral:rRNA from 1 species
AUACGGAGGAUCCGAGCGUUAUCCGGAUUUAUUGGGUUUAAAGGGAGCGUAGGCGGGAGCUUAAGUCAGCGGUUAAAUGGUGCGGCUCAACCGUGCCCUGCCGUUGAAACUGGGUUUCUUGAGAGUGCAAGAGGCGGAUGGAAUUCCUGGUGUGGCGGGGGAAUGCUUAGAUAUCAUGAAGAACUCCGAUUGCGAAGGCAGUCCGCUGGGGCACGUCUGACGCUGAUGCUCGAAGGUGCGGGAAUCAAACAGGAUUAGAUACCCUGGUAGUCCGCACGGUAAACGAUGAUUACCCGCUGUCGGCGGUAGACAGUCGGCGGCCAAGCGAAAGCGAUAAGUAAUCCACCUGGGGAGUACGCCGGCAACGGUGAAACUCAAAUGAAUUGACGGGG